rnacentral:rRNA from 1 species
UACGGAGGGGGCUAGCGUUGUUCGGAAUUACUGGGCGUAAAGCGCGCGUAGGCGGACCUGCAAGUCGGGGGUGAAAGCCCGAGGCUCAACCUCGGAACUGCCUUCGAUACUGCGGGUCUCGAGUCCGGGAGAGGUGAGUGGAAUUCCUAGUGUAGAGGUGAAAUUCGUAGAUAUUAGGAAGAACACCAGUGGCGAAGGCGGCUCACUGGCCCGGUACUGACGCUGAGGCGCGAAAGCUAGGGUAGCGAACGGG